rnacentral:ncRNA from 2 species
AUAUUUCUUCAGGGCGAGGUGUAAUUCCUCACCGGUGGUGAUAGUCCACGAGUCGAAAGAUUGAAUCGGUGAAAUUCCGAUACCGACGGUUAUAGUCCGGAUGGGAGAAGAGUAUU